rnacentral:rRNA from 1 species
UACGUAGGGUGCAAGCGUUAAUCGGAAUUACUGGGCGUAAAGCGUGCGCAGGCGGCUUUGCAAGACAGAUGUGAAAUCCCCGGGCUAACCUGGGGAACUGCAUUUGUGACUGCAUGGCUGGAGUGCGGCAGAGGGGGAUGGAAUUCCGCGUGUAGCAGUGAAAUGCGUAGAUAUGUGGAGGAACACCGAUGGCGAAGGCAGCCCCCUGGGUCAAAACUGACGCUCAUGCACGAAAGCGUGGGGAGCAAACAGG